GGCACGGUGGUACAGUGGCUAGUACUGCUGCCUCGGAACAAGGAGGUUCUGGGUUUGAGCCCCUGCUGGCCA